CCUACGGGAGGCAGCAGUAAGGAAUAUUGGACAAUGCUCGCAAGAGUGAUCCAGCCAUGCCGCGUGCAGGAAGAAUGCCCUAUGGGUAGUAAACUGCUUUUGAACUAGAGAAAACCCCAGUACGUGUACUGGGCUGAUAGUAUAGUUAGAAUAAGCAUCGGCUAACUUCGUGCCAGCAGCCGCGGUAAGACGAAGGAUGCAAGCGUUAUCCGGAUUCAUUGGGUUUAAAGGGAGCGUAGGUGGACUGAUAAGUCAGUGGUGAAAUCUCCGAGCUUAACUCGGAAAUUGCCAUUGAUACUGUUGGUCUUGAGUACAGUUGCUGUGGGCGGAAUAUGACAUGUAGUGGUGAAAUACAUAGAGAUGUCAUAGAACACCGAUUGCGAAGGCAGCUCACAAAGCUGUAACUGACACUGAGGCUCGAAAGUGCGGGGAUCAAACAGGAUUAGAUACCCUGGUAGUCCGCACCGUAAACGAUGAUUACUCGCUGCUAGGGGGCAACCUUUAGUGGCUUAGGNGAAGAGANAAGUAAGUACACCGCGGGAGGACGCCGGCGACGGAGAACGUACGAAAGGAAGUAGACGGACGGNGAGGAGAGCCGACGGACGACGACGAGGGGAGGAGGG
rnacentral:rRNA from 1 species